GCAUGUCGAGUGUUUGUUAGCAAGACUGUUCAUACCAAUUUUCAGGCUUGUAUCACCAACUGAAAUAUUCGGACUAAAAUUUGUACUUGGCCGCUGCACUAUUGUGUCCAUCAAGAUGGUAAUAACAAACUGUCCGGUGCUGAAAGAUGUGGCACUUGUAGCAGCAUGACAUUGACAUGACAUUGUCAUGCUCUGUAGAAAAUCAUCACCAUCUGAAAUCUUGGCGUUUGGAAAGGAGGUGUAAGCAGGAGCAGGAGUUGGGCGCUGUGUACCCUUGCAGCAUGUCCCGUAAGUUUCCGUAGUGUAGUGGCUCGUUCACCUCACAUGCAAAAGGUCCCCGGUUCGAAACUAGGCGGAACCAGCUUGACGUCGUCUCCUGCUCGACUCAGACGCUCAAUGGUGGCCCACUUAAACCCGCUUGAAUACUGAGUUCAAGGGGCUGGUAGACAUUUGUUAUCAGAGGCCCUCCCAUAACAUACCAAUAACAUUCCCAAAUCCCAUUUUAGCAGGCCCGGCUUAAAGGCAAGGAAUCCAUCUCCUGUCCUUCUCUGUGUACACCAUGGAAUAGGGUUCAGUAGUAGAGAAAGGUGACGUGAAGGGGUAACUUGAGUCCCAGUCAGAAUUUCUCAUCCCUUUUUUUCUUUUCUUGUUUUUUCCUCUGGCAGAUUGAGGCCCUCUUUGCAUGCAAUCUCAUUCAUUUGACCUCCUCCUUUGUAGGAUGGAAGGCUGACAGUUUGUCAGCUCACCUGGGCUGGAGAGCAGGAUGAGCUCCAAGCCCCCGGUCUUUGUGGGCUUAAAAUCAGCUGCUGGAGCAAAGGAAUAAUCUCCCCGUCGGGGAAUCGAACCCCGGUCUUCCGCGUGACAGGCGGAGAUACUGUCCACUAUACUAACGAGGACUCACGCGUUGCCACCUUCAGCGCGUCGAGCGCGGGCAUCGCUGAGUACCAGUGUUUACCAGGCGUACACAAAGGGUCUGAAAGAAGCAUGGCCAACUGCUGGGUGUCGUUUACAACAGGGUUCCGUAACACUCUCGUUUCAGAAUCGUCCUCCAAGUCAAAACCGCCCACCAGAAGAAACCUCCUUUCCCUGGUGAGCUCCAUCUACCAUCCAUUGGGUAUCUUAGCACCAGUGCUUCUGCCAGCUAAAAGGAUCCUGCAAGAGCUCUGCAGGUUAAAGCUCAGCUGGGAUGACAUUGUACAAACUCGUCUUGCUCAGCAGUGGUUUGACUGGUUCAAGCAACUGCAACUACUCAGUGACUUGGGAGUUGACAGGUGUUUCAAACCAGCACAUUUUGGAGACCCUACCUUUACUCAUCUGCAUCAUUUCAGUGAUGCUAGUGAAGAAGGUUAUGGAGCAGUGACCUACCUAGUCCUGCGAAACAGCAGCAAUCAGGUCCACAUCGCCCUUGUCAUGGGUAAAGCAAGGGUUGCUCCUAUCAAGCCUACCAACAAUCCCCGCUUGGAAUGAACAGCCGCAACCAUGGCAGGGCGCACAGAUAUGAUGUCGAAGAGAGCGCUACAGUCGCAGCUGCAGCUUGCGGACUCAGUCCUCUGGACAGAUAGCACGGCUGUUCUUAAGAACAUCAACAAUGAAACAACUAGGUUCCGCACAUUCGUUGCCAACAGAGUGUCAGAAAUACUGACAGUGUCAGAAAUACUGACAGUGUCAAUCGUGGCAACAGAUGACAGACAAGAUGCAAUGGAGCAACUUAUAGAGCACUACUCCCCAUGGACACGCCGUUUCAUUGCAAGAACAAGUCAAGUUAUGGAACUGUAUUCAGAACCCACGGCAAUCGAAAAACUGUUUGUUAGCAUCUGAAAUCUUGGCAUUUGGAAAGCAGGUGAGUUGGGCGCUGCGUAACCUUCCCGCAUGUCCUGUAAGUUUCCGUAGUGUAGUGGUUAUCACGUUCGCCUAACACGCGAAAGGUCCCCGGUUCGAAACCGGGCGGAAACAGAUGGACGUCCCCUCCUGCUUGACUCAGACGCUCGAUGGUGGCCCACUUAAACCCACUUGAAUACUGAGUUCAAGGGGCUGGUAGACAUUUGUUAUCAGAGGCCCUCCCAUAACAUACCAAUAACAUUCCCAAAUCCCAUUUUAGCAGGCCCGGCUUAAAGGCAAGGAAUCCAUCUCCUGUCCUUCUCUGUGUACACCAUGGAAUAGGGUUCAGUAGUAGAGAAAGGUGACGUGAAGGGGUAACUUGAGUCCCAGUCAGAAUUUCUCAUCCCUUUUUUUCUUUUCUUGUUUUUUCCUCUGGCAGAUUGAGGCCCUCUUUGCAUGCAAUCUCAUUCAUUUGACCUCCUCCUUUGUAGGAUGGAAGGCUGACAGUUUGUCAGCUCACCUGGGCUGGAGAGCAGGAUGAGCUCCAAGCCCCCGGUCUUUGUGGGCUUAAAAUCAGCUGCUGGAGCAAAGGAAUAAUCUCCCCGUCGGGGAAUCGAACCCCGGUCUUCCGCGUGACAGGCGGAGAUACUGUCCACUAUACUAACGAGGACUCACGCGUUGCCACUUUCAGCGCGUCGAGCGCGGGCAUCGCUGAGUACCAGUGUUUACCAGGCGUACACAAAGGGUCUGAAAGAAGCAUGGCCAACUGCUGGGUGUCGUUUACAUCAGGGUUCCGUAACACUCUCGUUUCAGAAUCGUCCUCCAAGUCAAAACCGCCCACCAGAAGAAACCUCCUUUCCCUGGUGAGCUACAUCUACCAUCCAUUGGGUAUCUUAGCACCAGUGCUUCUGCCAGCUAAAAGGAUCCUGCAAGAGCUCUGCAGGUUAAAGCUCAGCUGGGAUGACAUUGUACAAACUCGUCUUGCUCAGCAGUGGUUUGACUGGUUCAAGCAACUGCAACUACUCAGUGACUUGGGAGUUGACAGGUGUUUCAAACCAGCACAUUUUGGAGACCCUACCUUUACUCAUCUGCAUCAUUUCAGUGAUGCUAGUGAAGAAGGUUAUGGAGCAGUGACCUACCUAGUCCUGCGAAACAGCAGCAAUCAGGUCCACAUCGCCCUUGUCAUGGGUAAAGCAAGGGUUGCUCCUAUCAAGCCUACCAACAAUCCCCGCUUGGAAUGAACAGCCGCAACCAUGGCAGGGCGCACAGAUAUGAUGUCGAAGAGAGCGCUACAGUCGCAGCUGCAGCUUGCGGACUCAGUCCUCUGGACAGAUAGCACGGCUGUUCUUAAGAACAUCAACAAUGAAACAACUAGGUUCCGCACAUUCGUUGCCAACAGAGUGUCAGAAAUACUGACAGUGUCAAUCGUGGCAACAGAUGACAGACAAGAUGCAAUGGAGCAACUUAUAGAGCACUACUCCCCAUGGACACGCCGUUUCAUUGCAAGAACAAGUCAAGUUAUGGAACUGUAUUCAGAACCCACGGCAAUCGAAAAACUGUUUGUUAGCAUCUGAAAUCUUGGCAUUUGGAAAGCAGGUGAGUUGGGCGCUGCGUAACCUUCCCGCAUGUCCUGUAAGUUUCCGUAGUGUAGUGGUUAUCACGUUCGCCUCACACGCGAAAGGUCCCCGGUUCGAAACCGGGCGGAAACAGAUGGACGUCCCCUCCUGCUUGACUCAGACGCUCAAUGGUGGCCCACUUAAACCCGCUUGAAUACUGAGUUCAAGGGGCUGGUAGACAUUUGUUAUCAGAGGCCCUCCCAUAACAUACCAAUAACAUUCCCAAAUCCCAUUUUAGCAGGCCCGGCUUAAAGGCAAGGAAUCCAUCUCCUGUCCUUCUCUGUGUACACCGUGGAAUAGGGUUCGGUGGUAGAGAAAGGUGACGUGAAGGAGUAACUUGAGUCCCAGUCAGAAUUUCUCAUCCCUUUUUUUCUUUUCUUGUUUUUUCCUCUGGCAGAUUGAGGCCCUCUUUGCAUGCAAUCUCAUUCAUUUGACCUCCUCCUUUGUAGGAUGGAAGGCUGACAGUUUGUCAGCUCACCUGGGCUGGAGAGCAGGAUGAGCUCCAAGCCCCCGGUCUUUGUGGGCUUAAAAUCAGCUGCUGGAGCAAAGGAAUAAUCUCCCCGUCGGGGAAUCGAACCCCGGUCUUCCGCGUGACAGGCGGAGAUACUGUCCACUAUACUAACGAGGACUCACGCGUUGCCACCUUCAGCGCGUCGAGCGCGGGCAUCGCUGAGUACCAGUGUUUACCAGGCGUACACAAAGGGUCUGAAAGAAGCAUGGCCAACUGCUGGGUGUCGUUUACAUCAGGGUUCCGUAACACUUCCGUUUCAGAAUCGUCCUCCAAGUCAAAACCGCCCACCAGAAGAAACCUCCUUUCCCUGGUGAGCUACAUCUACCAUCCAUUGGGUAUCUUAGCACCAGUGCUUCUGCCAGCUAAAAGGAUCCUGCAAGAGCUCUGCAGGUUAAAGCUCAGCUGGGAUGACAUUGUACAAACUCGUCUUGCUCAGCAGUGGUUUGACUGGUUCAAGCAACUGCAACUACUCAGUGACUUGGGAGUUGACAGGUGUUUCAAACCAGCACAUUUUGGAGACCCUACCUUUACUCAGCUGCAUCAUUUCAGUGAUGCUAGUGAAGAAGGUUAUGGAGCAGUGACCUACCUAGUCCUGCGAAACAGCAGCAAUCAGGUCCACAUCGCCCUUGUCAUGGGUAAAGCAAGGGUUGCUCCUAUCAAGCCUACCAACAAUCCCCGCUUGGAAUGAACAGCCGCAACCAUGGCAGGGCGCACAGAUAUGAUGUCGAAGAGAGCGCUACAGUCGCAGCUGCAGCUUGCGGACUCAGUCCUCUGGACAGAUAGCACGGCUGUUCUUAAGAACAUCAACAAUGAAACAACUAGGUUCCGCACAUUCGUUGCCAACAGAGUGUCAGAAAUACUGACAGUGUCAAUCGUGGCAACAGAUGACAGACAAGAUGCAAUGGAGCAACUUAUAGAGCACUACUCCCCAUGGACACGCCGUUUCAUUGCAAGAACAAGUCAAGUUAUGGAACUGUAUUCAGAACCCACGGCAAUCGAAAAACUGUUUGUUAGCAUCUGAAAUCUUGGCAUUUGGAAAGCAGGUGAGUUGGGCGCUGCGUAACCUUCCCGCAUGUCCUGUAAGUUUCCGUAGUGUAGUGGUUAUCACGUUCGCCUCACACGCGAAAGGUCCCCGGUUCGAAACCGGGCGGAAACAGAUGGACGUCCCCUCCUGCUUGACUCAGACGCUCGAUGGUGGCCCACUUAAACCCACUUGAAUACUGAGUUCAAGGGGCUGGUAGACAUUUGUUAUCAGAGGCCCUCCCAUAACAUACCAAUAACAUUCCCAAAUCCCAUUUUAGCAGGCCCGGCUUAAAGGCAAGGAAUCCAUCUCCUGUCCUUCUCUGUGUACACCGUUGGAAUAGGGUUCGGUGGUAGAGAAAGGUGACGUGAAGGAGUAACUUGAGUCCCAGUCAGAAUUUCUCAUCCCUUUUUUUCUUUUCUUGUUUUUUCCUCUGGCAGAUUGAGGCCCUCUUUGCAUGCAAUCUCAUUCAUUUGACCUCCUCCUUUGUAGGAUGGAAGGCUGACAGUUUGUCAGCUCACCUGGGCUGGAGAGCAGGAUGAGCUCCAAGCCCCCGGUCUUUGUGGGCUUAAAAUCAGCUGCUGGAGCAAAGGAAUAAUCUCCCCGUCGGGGAAUCGAACCCCGGUCUUCCGCGUGACAGGCGGAGAUACUGUCCACUAUACUAACGAGGACUCACGCGUUGCCACCUUCAGCGCGUCGAGCGCGGGCAUCGCUGAGUACCAGUGUUUACCAGGCGUACACAAAGGGUCUGAAAGAAGCAUGGCCAACUGCUGGGUGUCGUUUACAUCAGGGUUCCGUAACACUUCCGUUUCAGAAUCGUCCUCCAAGUCAAAACCGCCCACCAGAAGAAACCUCCUUUCCCUGGUGAGCUACAUCUACCAUCCAUUGGGUAUCUUAGCACCAGUGCUUCUGCCAGCUAAAAGGAUCCUGCAAGAGCUCUGCAGGUUAAAGCUCAGCUGGGAUGACAUUGUACAAACUCGUCUUGCUCAGCAGUGGUUUGACUGGUUCAAGCAACUGCAACUACUCAGUGACUUGGGAGUUGACAGGUGUUUCAAACCAGCACAUUUUGGAGACCCUACCUUUACUCAGCUGCAUCAUUUCAGUGAUGCUAGUGAAGAAGGUUAUGGAGCAGUGACCUACCUAGUCCUGCGAAACAGCAGCAAUCAGGUCCACAUCGCCCUUGUCAUGGGUAAAGCAAGGGUUGCUCCUAUCAAGCCUACCAACAAUCCCCGCUUGGAAUGAACAGCCGCAACCAUGGCAGGGCGCACAGAUAUGAUGUCGAAGAGAGCGCUACAGUCGCAGCUGCGGCUUGCGGACUCAGUCCUCUGGACAGAUAGCACGGCUGUUCUUAAGAACAUCAACAAUGAAACAACUAGGUUCCGCACAUUCGUUGCCAACAGAGUGUCAGAAAUACUGACAGUGUCAAUCGUGGCAACAGAUGACAGACAAGAUGCAAUGGAGCAACUUAUAGAGCACUACUCCCCAUGGACACGCCGUUUCAUUGCAAGAACAAGUCAAGUUAUGGAACUGUAUUCAGAACCCACGGCAAUCGAAAAACUGUUUGUUAGCAUCUGAAAUCUUGGCAUUUGGAAAGCAGGUGAGUUGGGCGCUGCGUAACCUUCCCGCAUGUCCUGUAAGUUUCCGUAGUGUAGUGGUUAUCACGUUCGCCUAACACACGAAAGGUCCCCGGUUCGAAACUGGGCGGAAACAGAUGGACGUCCCCUCCUGCUUGACUCAGACGCUCAAUGGUGGCCCACUUAAACCCGCUUGAAUACUGAGUUCAAGGGGCUGGUAGACAUUUGUUAUCAGAGGCCCUCCCAUAACAUACCAAUAACAUUCCCAAAUCCCAUUUUAGCAGGCCCGGCUUAAAGGCAAGGAAUCCAUCUCCUGUCCUUCUCUGUGUACACCAUGGAAUAGGGUUCGGUGGUAGAGAAAGGUGACGUGAAGGGGUAACUUGAGUCCCAGUCAGAAUUUCUCAUCCCUUUUUUUCUUUUCUUGUUUUUUCCUCUGGCAGAUUGAGGCCCUCUUUGCAUGCAAUCUCAUUCAUUUGACCUCCUCCUUUGUAGGAUGGAAGGCUGACAGUUUGUCAGCUCACCUGGGCUGGAGAGCAGGAUGAGCUCCAAGCCCCCGGUCUUUGUGGGCUUAAAAUCAGCUGCUGGAGCAAAGGAAUAAUCUCCCCGUCGGGGAAUCGAACCCCGGUCUUCCGCGUGACAGGCGGAGAUACUGUCCACUAUACUAACGAGGACUCACGCGUUGCCACCUUCAGCGCGUCGAGCGCGGGCAUCGCUGAGUACCAGUGUUUACCAGGCGUACACAAAGGGUCUGAAAGAAGCAUGGCCAACUGCUGGGUGUCGUUUACAUCAGGGUUCCUUAACACUCUCGUUUCAGAAUCGUCCUCCAAGUCAAAACCGCCCACCAGAAGAAACCUCCUUUCCCUGGUGAGCUCCAUCUACCAUCCAUUGGGUAUCUUAGCACCAGUGCUUCUGCCAGCUAAAAGGAUCCUGCAAGAGCUCUGCGGGUUAAAGCUCAGCUGGGAUGACAUUGUACAAACUCGUCUUGCUCAGCAGUGGUUUGACUGGUUCAAGCAACUGCAACUACUCAGUGACUUGGGAGUUGACAGGUGUUUCAAACCAGCACAUUUUGGAGACCCUACCUUUACUCAGCUGCAUCAUUUCAGUGAUGCUAGUGAAGAAGGUUAUGGAGCAGUGACCUACCUAGUCCUGCGAAACAGCAGCAAUCAGGUCCACAUCGCCCUUGUCAUGGGUAAAGCAAGGGUUGCUCCUAUCAAGCCUACCAACAAUCCCCGCUUGGAAUGAACAGCCGCAACCAUGGCAGGGCGCACAGAUAUGAUGUCGAAGAGAGCGCUACAGUCGCAGCUGCGGCUUGCGGACUCAGUCCUCUGGACAGAUAGCACGGCUGUUCUUAAGAACAUCAACAAUGAAAAAACUAGGUUCCGCACAUUCGUUGCCAACAGAGUGUCAGAAAUACUGACAGUGUCAAUCGUGGCAACAGAUGACAGACAAGAUGCAAUGGAGCAACUUAUAGAGCACUACUCCCCAUGGACACGCCGUUUCAUUGCAAGAACAAGUCAAGUUAUGGAACUGUAUUCAGAACCCACGGCAAUCGAAAAACUGUUUGUUAGCAUCUGAAAUCUUGGCAUUUGGAAAGCAGGUGAGUUGGGCGCUGUGUAACCUUCCCGCAUGUCCUGUAAGUUUCCGUAGUGUAGCGGUUAUCACGUUCGCCUCACACGCGAAAGCUCCUCGGUUCGAAACCGGGCGGAAACAGAUGGACGUCCCCUCCUGCUUGACUCAGACGCUCGAUGGUGGCCCACUUAAACCCACUUGAAUACUGAGUUCAAGGGGCUGGUAGACAUUUGUUAUCAGAGGCCCUCCCAUAACAUACCAAUAACAUUCCCAAAUCCCAUUUUAGCAGGCCCGGCUUAAAGGCAAGGAAUCCAUCUCCUGUCCUUCUCUGUGUACACCAUGGAAUAGGGUUCGGUGGUAGAGAAAGGUGACGUGAAGGGGUAACUUGAGUCCCAGUCAGAAUUUCUCAUCCCUUUUUUUCUUUUCUUGUUUUUUCCUCUGGCAGAUUGAGGCCCUCUUUGCAUGCAAUCUCAUUCAUUUGACCUCCUCCUUUGUAGGAUGGAAGGCUGACAGUUUGUCAGCUCACCUGGGCUGGAGAGCAGGAUGAGCUCCAAGCCCCCGGUCUUUGUGGGCUUAAAAUCAGCUGCUGGAGCAAAGGAAUAAUCUCCCC
rnacentral:lncRNA from 1 species